AUUGAACGCUGGCGGCAUGCUUUACACAUGCAAGUCGAACGGUAACAGGGAGCUUGCUCCGCUGACGAGUGGCGAACGGGUGAGUAAUGCAUCGGAACGUACCCAGUCGUGGGGGAUAACGUAGCGAAAGUUACGCUAAUACCGCAUACGUCCUGAGGGAGAAAGCGGGGGACCGAAAGGCCUCGCGCGAUUGGAGCGGCCGAUGUCGGAUUAGCUAGUUGGUGGGGUAAAGGCCUACCAAGGCGACGAUCCGUAGCGGGUCUGAGAGGAUGAUCCGCCACACUGGGACUGAGACACGGCCCAGACUCCUACGGGAGGCAGCAGUGGGGAAUUUUGGACAAUGGGGGCAACCCUGAUCCAGCCAUGCCGCGUGAGUGAAGAAGGCCUUCGGGUUGUAAAGCUCUUUCAGACGGAAAGAAAACGCAUCGGUGAAUACCCGAUGUGGAUGA
rnacentral:rRNA from 1 species